UAAUGUCUGUGGAUGAAAUAUUUAAUUAAAAUAAAUAUUAGGAUUUGUUGUGGGAAAGAUGCCACGUAGUAAACGUGUACCAUACGUUAAGUGUGAAAAGAACAGGGGUAUGAGACGUCAGAGCACCGAAAAGUUUUGGUGAAAUCUUGAAGGACUAGGGCUGAAGUGAGAGAGAGAGAGAGAGAGAGAGAGAGAGUAAUGGAAAUCAGGGAAGAAGACAAAGUUAGAUCUGAAUCCGGUCCGGUCCAAUUCAGCGGAGGAGAGUGUUAGAGUUGUUGAGACUUCUGAUGGCGAAGAUAGAUAGAGGAGUUGUCCUCCUCACCUGAAAUCAAAUUCAAGACCGCGUUGCCUUCCCUCCUUUUCGUUAGCUUAUUCUUCAAUUGGAAACAGCUCAUUGCUUUUGUUUUUUCAGUUUUAAAAUAGGCAUUGGGAAAAGGGAGAGUUGCCAAUUGAAGGCUGUUGCUGUAUCCUGUAAGUGAAGUCAUUUUUCUCUGCCUGAAGUGGUGCUUGGAAUAUUCAUCCCACAUUCACUUUCGGUGAAGUAUUGUAUGUAUAUAACCAAUUAUGUCUGUUUGUUACUUGAUUUUCAAUUCAUAGUGACAAGUCACAUGAUCAUUGGGCUCCCUUUCAUCUCAUAUCAAUGAAUUACCGUUUCUCUCUUCGGCUUUCUUUUGAGAUUUAAUUGGUUAGGUCACACUCACAUGUGUAUUUGAAGUUUAAAAUGUCGUCAAGACCAACUGGUCAUUCCAUUCGUGAAUAUCUGCAACUAGCAAGAGGGAAUUUAACUUUGAAAAUCAUGCAUCAACAUAUAGAAUUCCAGAUCUUCAUAAUUCGUCACAAGUGAAUUUUCAACCUUAUUUCACGCACCGCUCAGGCAGAGGAACAUGACCUCACCUCUCUUGGAUGAUGCACCACUCUACGUUGGCAUCACUUUCUAUAUCCCAAUGCCUAUUUUAAAAAUGAAAACAUCAACACACUACACUGUUUCCAUUUUAAACUAUUGUAAAGGAAGACAACACUGACGAAUUCUUAGAUUUUGAUUUUAGCCGACGAGGAUGUUUUUAUUAGCUACGAAGAAGAAAUGUUUUUGUCAAUGAUUCGACUCCCUCCAAGUCAUUCAGAACUCAGAACUCAGAAGGAUAUACUAUGGAAGUAGUGACAGUAGUCUCUGAAAGGAUUCUGAAAUAUGUAUUGUUAUGACCAAUGCAUAGCUCAUUACGAGAACAUCAGAACCUGCUUUGGUGAGGGGAAAGGUAGGGGAAUGGAAGCAAAGUUUUCUAAUUAUUCCCCUUUUUUGCCCACCAACCCCAAUUUAUCCAAGACUUCAGAGUGUGGAGCAAACAUGCUAGCUCUUAAUACUCGACCAAUUUCUUCUAAUCAUGGAGCAAACAUAAACAAGAUGGACAGUAUCUUUCCUGAUGAUUUCUGGGGAGUGGACCCUUCCUCGUAUGACUCAACAUUAGAUAUACUUUUGCAGAUCAACGGUAUUGAAAUUUCUAGUUCUCAUAAUUUAAGGAUAUGCUUUAUUAUCACUUAUUAUUAUUACAUAUUUUUCUGGACAACUGGUAUGGCCUAAUGACUAGCCUUCAGAGGAGACCAAAGAAGAUCGAUCAUAUUAGCUUGUCCAAACAUCUCGGACAGAACACAUAUGCUACUGACUAAUGUGCUGCGGACGCCUUGCUAGUCUAGCUUAGAGGCUUCUCGGAGAAGCCUUGACCCCUUUGUAGCUUAGGCUUUUAUGCUGUCCUAUCCAAGCAUUAUCUUUAGGUGCCUCCCAUGCUCUCUCUACUGGCCACUAGAGACUAAAUUUUCAUUGUAUUAACGUCUCCUUGUUGUAUAGUAACACGCAAAAUCCACUCACAAACGACCUGUAAAUUGUUCUGAGCUUAAUUUACUAUAUGCCUCGUAUGUCUAUGAAUGUAAUUAUUAUUUGUAUUUUAACCAAAGUGACUUCUCUGAAACAAUCUGGU